rnacentral:lncRNA from 1 species
AAUUCAAACAAAGGCUAAAGCUUUGAACUGAGUCUUAAUGGAGAAUAGCACAGUUGAACCUUCUCAGUUUAUUCAAAAUUCUAAAAAAAUUACUUCAGGUAGAGAAAAUGGGAGAGAGAAACUUAUGACAGUAGUCAAAUUGAGUAGUUUGUAUAUCAUGUUUCUUUUGCUACUGCAGGGGUUUGCGACCUUUGACUAAAGAAUGUCAUGCUGCCAAGCUUUUCUCAAAGCAUAUGAAGGUUGAGGAUCAGGUAGUGAUAUCUUUUCUCAAAAUUUUUAUUAGGACCGAGUACUGGAAUAAUAUAUAAGGUGAGGAGGUCUUUCAGAGCAUUGUAUUGUUCAUAAAGUAAAUAUGUGUGCACUCAUAUUUCAAGUAUUUCGAUAAUUUUGACUCAUAUAUUUCAAAUAUGAGUUCUUAUGUUUCGGAUUUACAGUUGUUUUAUUUUAACUCACAUAUUUCGCUAAUUUUUAUAUUUCAAAUAUUUUCAGGUAUACGUUGAAGGAUACUUGGUGUAAGCUAUGAAGUAAUGGGUCUUAUGCUCAACAUGUUAUUUCUCUAUUUUCUGCAUGUUUGUAUAUUUUUGGUUCCGUCUUUUGUAAAGUUAACUAAUUAUACAUGGUUAUGAUGAUUUUUGGGUAUGGAAUGCCUGUUUUUUUUUUGUGGUUUGGAUACGUAUUGAUUAUUGUAAGUUUUGUUAGACAUGUUUAAAAUUUUCUGGAUAUCUAUUUUUAAAGUAAACUCUGCCGAAAUUCUUGAAAUUAGUACCGACUAGCUUGAUGUUUUGGUGGUUGGAUAUGUGUUGAUGAUUGAGUAUGUAUUAAUUGUUG